rnacentral:rRNA from 1 species
AGUUUGAUCAUGGCUCAGAUUGAACGCUGGCGGGAUGCUUUACACAUGCAAGUCGAACGGCAGCACGGACUUCGGUCUGGUGGCGAGUGGCGAACGGGUGAGUAAUGUAUCGAACGUGCCUAGUAGAAGCGGGGGAUAACUAUGCUGAAAGCGUAGCUAAUACUGCAUACGCCUCGGGGGAAAGCGGGGGACCUUCGGGCCUCGCACUAUUAGAGCGGCCGAUAUCGGAUUAGCUUGUUGGUGGGGUAACGGCUCACCAAGGCGACGAUCCGUAGCUGGUUUGAGAGGACGACCAGCCACACUGGGACUGAGACACGGCCCAGAUCCUACGGGAGGCAGCAGUGGGGAAUUUUGGACAAUGGGGAACCCUGAUCCAGCCAUCCCGCGUGUGCGAUGAAGGCCUCGGGUUGUAAAGCACUUUUGGCAGGAAAGAAAACGGCACGGGAUAAUACCCCGUGCAACUUAUUUGGUACCUGCAGAAUAAGCACCGCUAAUCCAGACAGCCAGCAGCCGCGGUAAUACGUAGGGUGCAAGCGUUAAUCGGAAUUACUGGGCGUAAAGCGUGCGCAGGCGGUUCGGAAAGAAAAGAUGUGAAAUCCCAGAGCUUAACUUUGGAACUGCAUUUUUAACUACCGAGCUAGAGUGCGUCAGAGGGAGUGUGGAAUUCCGCGUGUAGCAGUGAAAUGCGUAGAUAUGCGGAGGAACACCGAUGGCGAAGGCAGCCUCCUGGGAUAACACCGACGCUCAUGCACGAAAGCGUGGGGAGUAAACAGGAUUAGAUACUCCUGGUAGUCCACGCCCUAAACGAUGUCAACUAGCUGUUGGGGCCUUCGGGCCUUGGUAGCGCAGCUAACGCGUGAAGUUGACCGCCUGGGGAGUACGGUCGCAAGAUUAAAACUCACAAAGGAAUUGACGGGGACCCGCAAGGCGGUGGAUGAUGUGGAUUAAUCUGAUGCAACGCGAAAACCUUACCUACCCUUGACAUGUCUGGAAUCCCGAAGAGAUUUUGGGAGUGCUCGCAAGAGAACCGGAACACAGGUGCUGCAUGGCUGUCGUCAGCUCGUGUCGUGAGAUGUUGGGUUAAGUCCCGCAACGAGCGCAACCCUGUCAUUAGUUGCUGAUGAAAGGGCACUCUAAUGAGACUGCCGGUGACAAACCGGAGGAAGGUGGGGAUGACGUCAAGUCCUCAUGGCCCUUGCGGGUAGGGCUUCACACGUCAUACAAUGGUCGGGACAGAGGGUCGCCAACCCGCGAGGGGGAGCCAUAAUCCUAGAAACCGAUCGGAAAUUCUGGAUCGCAGUCUGCAACUCCUGACUGCGUGAAGUCGGAAUCGCUAGUAAUCGCGGAUCAGCAUGUCGCAGGAAUACGUUCCCGGGUCUUGUACACACCGCCCGUCACACCAUGGGAGUGGUUUUACUAGAAGUAGUUAGCCUAACCGUAUGAGGGGCGAUUACCACGGUAGGAUUCAUGACUGGGGUGAAGUCGUAACAAGGUAACCUCAGCAUGUUCUCGAUGCCUCAGGAGUACGCUGCAACUGGAACGAA